AAGUCUAUAAAUUGUAGCUUGUACUGAAGCAAUUGUAGUUUGCUCAAGUUUCUUUUUGUUUUGACUACUCUUCUUAUGGCAUUCACUAGUUAGUACCAAUCUCUCCCUUGCUCUCUUUAUAUUGUCAAUUUGCAUAAGUCAAUAUCUGUACAAAUUGUUCGCAUAUAUACUUAAAAUUCAUAAAAUGUUACAGCUCAGCUGUCAUGGCUCUCAAAGACACAAGUGAUUGCCACAAGAGAUGUGAAUCAUGAUUCAGAAGUGUUAGAACGCAUGCUACUCGUUUACUUGUUUCCGAACAACUCUACCAUGUGUAAGUUCUUAUUAUUUGUCAGAGUCUCUCAGUAUGCUAGCUUCAGUUCAUUCCAUGUUUUAUCCAGCAGUGUGUUAAUGUCAAGUGAAUGAAUAACUAUCCAUUGAGAAAUCAUAAUGGAUGUACAAUUGCAUGCAAUGCAUGUAGUCAUUGCUCAACUUAAAAGUGUAUCACAUAUGUUAUUUGAAUCGAACUUUUCUUUUUCUUUGUCGAUUAACAUUCGUCAUUUUUAAAUUAUACAAAUCGAAAAUUUCAAUUAUCU
rnacentral:lncRNA from 1 species